GACGAACGCUGGCGGCGUGCUUAACACAUGCAAGUCGAACGGUGAAAGCGGAGCUUGCUCCGCUGGAUCAGUGGCGAACGGGUGAGUAACACGUGGGCAACCUGCCCCUCACUUCGGGAUAACUCCGGGAAACCGGGGCUAAUACCGGAUAUGACCUCCUUGGGCAUCCUUGGAGGUGGAAAGUUAUUCGGUGAGGGAUGGGCCCGCGGCCUACCAGCUUGUUGGUGAGGUAGUGGCUCACCAAGGCGACGACGGGUAGCCGGCCUGAGAGGGCGACCGGCCACACUGGGACUGAGACACGGCCCAGACUCCUACGGGAGGCAGCAGUGGGGAAUAUUGCGCAAUGGGCGAAAGCCUGACGCAGCAACGCCGCGUGCAGGAUGACGGCCUUCGGGUUGUAAACCGCUUUCAGCAGGGAAGAAGCCGCAAGGUGACGGUACCUGUAGAAGAAGCACCGGCUAACUACGUGCCAGCAGCCGCCGUAAUAC
rnacentral:rRNA from 1 species